GCUGUCCAGAUUACGAGACAAUUUGAAGCGUUACUUUCUUUUCUAAGUGCUGCUGUUCUACAACCAUAAUGUCCCUGGGAAGAGUUUAAGUGGCUCACUACCUUCUUACACUCGUGUUCACCUUUAAUAUCUCAUUCUUGUCCCAGGUGUUACCAGGCAGUUUAUAAAUGGUUGUCAAAAGCAACUUCUGAGUCUUGCUACUGGCCACAGCAGAGGAAAGGAUUGCAGUGGGGGAGAGGGAUAUCCUCGUCUGCUAUCCCAUUCAAUCUUCCUUCCCAGUUUUUCAGGCAGUUUUGCUGCCUAAACAUUAAUACAUAUCCUAGUUAUCCAGAAUGGACCGCGUUUUGUAACCUCUCACUAAUGAGCAUAGCAGAAAUGGAAAUUAAAGAGCAGUUCCUGAUGCCGCCGUGUCUGCUGGCAGCAGGCAGGUUUCUCUCUCAUCACCAGAAGUGUUUCAGAAACUUCCCUUUAAAAAAAAAAAAAAAAAAAAAAAAAGGAUGGCAAUUAAUUACCACGGGGUGGUUUUAAUGUGUGCUUUUAGUAACUUUGCAGUGAAGCCAGGCUUGAUUAUUUUCAGAUGCGGGAGCCCGUUGCCCAGCAGAGGGAGCACAGUCUGCCUGCGGACCCUGUGCAUGGGCAGAAGCGCUCAGAAAGACUUCCUCAGCCCAUACAGCAGGCAAAAAUGGGAACAAACACACUUUUCCUCUAAAGAAAACGUAAGAAGUUUGCUGACCAAGUUGAGUGGAGAGGUAUUCUGAAAACUGGGAAACCAUCUUAAAGAAAAUAUUCUCAUGUAGUGAAUGGUAAACAGCAGUGUUCAAGUAUCCUCUGAAAGUGCUGACACAAAGCACAGGACAAACAAGCCUCUGGAUCUCAAUGAAUGGACUUCCAAAAUCCUUCACUGCUUAUAGCAAGGAAUGACCCAAAGAGCAAGGAAGAAAACUGACUGCAGAACACAAAGCACAAAUCAGCCUGGUCCCAUAUCUCUUGUAGAUUUUUUUCUGCUGGAUACAACUACCUUACCUAGGCUACCUAAACAGUAUUGCCUAGCUUGAUAAAAUACAUCACUUGAGCUAUGGAUCUGGUUCUAUGAAAUUCUGCUUGUUUUUUUUUUUUUUUUUUUUUUUCUCAGUUCUCAGUCAAGCAAGCUCAGAUUACCUCUAACUUCAGAAGAGAAAAGAGUUAGGCCAAAAGCUAUUGUGACAUGGGUCCCCUGCUUAUCAUUAUGAAUCUGAGGGUUUAGCAAUUAUCUCUCAUUAAUUUUUCAGUUUAUCAUUUUCACAGACCACUACUUGUUGAUCUGAUUCCCCAUAAAAGGCAAGCAUUCACUUCAUUUUGAAGAGAACAAACUGAACACCACACAGACCCAUAUUUGCCAUAGUUUUUUGCUGCUCUACCUGUUUUGCAACUCUCCUGCCUCAUUUCACAGGUUAGUCCAUCAUGACACAAAGAAAUAACCUUGUACACAGGCUGACAAUGAUUAUAUGGAGUGUAUAUUUUGUCUGCAGUAACCAGAAGUCAUUAAUGUUGGCAGCAUAUGACAAAUAACAUGGUCUCCCUCUGAUCCUUAGAGGGCAGAUACUGAAAUUUCGGAAACCCCCCUACUUUCAUAGUGCUAACCAUCACAUUUCUCCUGUGAAAGCCAGGGGAUGGGUGGCAUUCAGAUUUAGUUUCCCUGUCUGAGAAACUCUGUCUCCUUCUAGGUCCCGUGCUGCUAUUGGAUAAGUACAGAGGAGGUGGAAAGUUUGCAGGAUUACCUGGGAAUAAAGAAAUAAAGAGUUAUUUGCA
rnacentral:lncRNA from 1 species